GAUUAAGUUCGUGAAUCCAGACAAUGGCGUUUUUGAGAAGCAGUCUAGUUUUUGUUGCAGCUUUGGUGAUGGCAGCUUUGACCAUCAUCCAGGCUACGCCUGACCCUGAACCUGACUGCUACGAACCCCCUUGCGUAUAGCUGCAGCUCAGUCCGCCGGUGGACUAUGAAUCCUGGUAUAUCUUAGGAUCUGAAAAAUGAGAAUCAUCAGAAUGGGCUACUUUCCCAGACAUACUGCUUCGGCAAGAAAAAACUUAUUCUAUAACCUUUACAAAUAAUUACUUAAUCCCAUGUUAACCAUGAUUUUAUGUAAAGUUUUCUUCUCAAACGUUUUCGAAAUAUGCAGUAAUAAAAACCUCUUAGUUGCUUGCAUAAAA